rnacentral:lncRNA from 1 species
GGGAAGGGCAGAGAGCUAGUAGAUGGGUUUGACAAAAGGAACACACCGGCAACGAUCUGAGGAGGAACGGUAAUUUACUAAAUCCAACAAAAUCAAACACAAUGAGGGAGAAGAGUACCCGAGGGAAGCACGUGCCCUUCGCAGCGAGCUGAACCGACCGGGAAGGAGGGGAGAGACAGACGGGGUCCUAUCCGGAGCUCCACCUCACUUCUUUCGGCGCCAAGUCCUCCGGGGAUGCUGCCCCUCCCCUCCAAUGAGAAUAAUCAAAAUGCCCGUAAGAGGCAGUAAACGGAACCAGAACAUUAACUCUUUAACUUCCACUGGUUCACAUGAUGUUCUGAUGUGGAAUACUGACAACAAAAAAUCACCAAACCACAGCAUAAGAGUCCUUUGUUAUUACUUCAGAGCAUGUGCUUUUGUCUGUAGAAUUUAGUUAAUUGUAUCACUGAAAUGUUAUGUGAGAGAGAAGGUUUCUGCAAGCUGCCAACAAUAUGAGGUCAGAAUCAGGCUCGUAUUUGAGAACAUAAGAGGUUUGUGUCCCGUCCAACCUCGUGAACAAGAUUCUAGCACGUGGAGGUCCAUGCAAGCCAAAGGUCAAGUGUUUUUAGUGUGGCUGGUAUGGAUGUUGUUGAAGGUGGUG